rnacentral:rRNA from 1 species
AUUGAACGCUGGCGGCAUGCCUUACACAUGCAAGUCGAACGGCAGCACGGGAGCAAUCCUGGUGGCGAGUGGCGAACGGGUGAGUAAUAUAUCGGAACGUGCCCAGUCGUGGGGGAUAACGCAGCGAAAGCUGUGCUAAUACCGCAUACGAUCUAAGGAUGAAAGCGGGGGAUCGCAAGACCUCGCGCGAUUGGAGCGGCCGAUAUCAGAUUAGCUAGUUGGUGGGGUAAAGGAUCACCAAGGCGACGAGCUGUAGCUGGUCUGAGAGGACGACGAGCCGCACUGGAACUGAGACACGGUCCAGACUCGUACGGGAGGGAGCAGUGGGGAAUUUUGGACAAUGGGCGCAAGCCUGAUCCAGCAAUGCCGCGUGCAGGAUGAAGGCCUUCGGGUUGUAAACUGCUUUUGUACGGAACGAAACGGCCCUUUCUAAUACAGGGGGCUAAUGACGGUACCGUAAGAAUAAGCACCGGCUAACUACGUGCCAGCCGCCGCCGUAA